GUCAGAGUGUGAUCGAGAUGGGAUUGACCACUCUAAGAGUUAGAGAAGAAUGAGUCGCUGUAUUUUAAUUUAGCAAAACCUUGGCCAGGGUAAUCCAUCAGAUGGAUUUGAUAUUUUGAAAUACAAUGUGGACAAUCUGAUCAGAGUUGACAGUUAAACUCUGGGGUGUCCUAUGAUCAUUUUGGUCAAGGGGAUGAAUUAUAUGAAAACUAUAUCCGCAUGAGUUCUAAGGAUGUUGUUCUACACAUUCGACCUAUCCGGUCGUCGGGUACCAUUGCUAGAUGGUCACUUCGAUUGGUAUAGAAAUUUAUUCCUGUGCUACCGGCUUAGAUUUGGACCUAUGAGGUCACACACAUUAGAGUUCAUGAUCCGAUCGGAUGGUUGAUCAACGAUUGAGAAUCAUUCUAGGGUUAAAUGAUCAAUACGAUUGACAUUUAACCCAGUGCAAGUGUUGCAGGAGGAUCGAUUAGCAAUUUGAUUGCUAAUUGGCUUAAUUUGAUUAAGUUAAUGAGCUGAGAUUAAGUAU
rnacentral:lncRNA from 1 species